ACCGCAGUCCGGGCCCCUCUGGCGAUCAAGGCGUUGAUCGUGAUGUCGGAUUGAUUGU
rfam:Hyphomonadaceae bacterium TKL13-1, complete genome.